AAGGGUUUUCGAAUCCUUGUUGGUCGAGGUCAUCUCAUUAGCCUUCUCGGCGAGGUGAGGUGUCACAGUUAUUACAUUCGGCACAUUGCAAGCCGAAUUCGGUUCGUGAACUUUGUAAGAAAUAGCAGCCUUGUCUUCAGGCUCGAGAACCCAAGAGGCCGAGACGUGUUCCUUUCUCGGCCGCAAUCGCAAGACGCAGAAGUCAGUAGCGUGACCCAACGCAGCAUCAUCAAAUUUACUCCUCGGCCGAGCCUCGGCCGACGAGUUGGCACGCCCCGCAAUCACCGAAGGACGUAGUUAGCUUAGAAUAUACUCGGCCUGCGCGCCACGUAGGCUUUGUAGUUUCUAGGGUCAACAGCAGUACAAGUUGAAACUUUGGCCCCUUAAGAAUAUUCAAAAUCCUCCUAAUCCUUUUUAAUAUUGUCUUAUCCUUUUAGUGGAGAUCAAAUACAAAAUCUUUAACUUUAAUAUGGAGAAGAGAUGCUAUGGGAUUAUAGAGGCUAAGCAAAGAUAAUCAUAACUACCCAAGUUUGUUUUUUUUUAUUUUUUUUUAUAUUUUGUUGUUUAUUAGAACCACCUAAUUUUGCUUAAGUUAGUGAAGCUAGCUCCGGUUUUUUGUAUCGAAUCGCCUAAGAAAAUGGAAAAUAAAUUGGUUGCAAACUUGUUAUUUAUGAUAUUUAAAAUUAAAACAUAUUACUUACCGAUGAAGAGUAAUAUUAUUAAACCGUAAUAUUAAAUCACAGCUAGCUUAGGUUUUCUAUAUUGUAAAACUUUUGAGCCUAUGUGACGAUUCAAAGUGCUAUGUUUCCACCACCAUAUUUUUAUUUUUUUUAUCCAACAAAAAACCAAGCCCAUGUUUUACUUUCCUUAUCAACUUUCCAAGAAGCCCAACCGUGCUUUGAGCCCUCAUGCGUUUCUUCUGCCUACCAAGAAGCCCAAUCAAUGUGCAUAAACAACCCAUAACUUCUGAAUAAGUCUCAUGUGUCGUAACACACAUGAAAACUAUAUAAUCUCUCAAGAGUCGAGUCAAGUCAAUUUCGGCAAAUAUCCUUUUAUUAUAAGCGAAAUAUUAUCGGUAUUUCAAAAAUCUCAUUGUACACUCUUUAUAAAUGUAUUUUUCUUUUCUAAUAUAUAAAGUUUGGAAUACUAAUAAUAAUUUCCUACUCUAAAAAUGAGUUGAAUCUAUUAUUUGACAAACAAAAAAAAAAAAAAAAAAAAAAAAGAGUCGCGUCAGUUUCGCAGCACUAUAAUCGCUCACAGAUCCCUUCCUUUUCUACAAUACCUGGACAAAAAGGCAUACAGAAGAACCGAUCAUGCAUGCGUGGCUCCCCCAAUAUUUUAUAUGCUGACUCGUCAGUCCCCACACGGUUCAGAAGAACCGAUCAUUACAUGC
rnacentral:lncRNA from 1 species